CUAACUCGUGUCUUUUUUUUCAGAUUUUAACGACUAGCAGUGCCAGUAAUUAUACAUGACUUCUCAAACGGGCGACACCUUGAAAAGAGAAGCAUCUGGACAGAAUGUUUAGUGGGAGUCUGUAACGCUGCUUGAAAGAAUAAUGGAGUAGUCAUUGAAGAAUAUAAAAGAAAAACCUUUCAAUCUGUCAAGAAUUUACAGGUAA